rnacentral:rRNA from 1 species
CUACGGGCGGCUGCAGUGAGGAAUAUUGGUCAAUGGGCGCGAGCCUGAACCAGCCAUCCCGCGUGCAGGAUGACGGCCCUAUGGGUUGUAAACUGCUUUUCUAUGCCAAGAAACCCUGUUACGAGUAACAGGUUGCCGGUAGCAUAGGAAUAAGCAUCGGCUAACUCCGUGCCAGCAGCCGCGGUAAUACGGAGGAUGCAAGCGUUAUCGGGAUUCAUUGGGUUGAAAGGGUGCGCAGGUGGGCUUGUAAGUCAGUGGUGAAAUGCUGCCGCUUAACGGUAGAACUGCCAUUGAUACUGGUAGUCUUGAGUAUGGUUGAGGUAGGCGGAAUGUGUUGUGUAGCGGUGAAAUGCAUAGAUAUGACACAGAACGCCAAUUGCGAAGGCAGCUUACUAAGCCAUUACUGACGCUGAGGCACGAAAGCGUGGGGAGCGAACAGGAUUAGAUACCCUAGUAGUC